GAUGAACGCUGGCGGCGUGCCUAAUACAUGCAAGUCGAGCGAACGGACGAGAAGCUUGCUUCUCUGAUGUUAGCGGCGGACGGGUGAGUAACACGUGGAUAACCUACCUAUAAGACUGGGAUAACUUCGGGAAACCGGAGCUAAUACCGGAUAAUAUUUUGAACCGCAUGGUUCAAAAGUGAAAGACGGUCUUGCUGUCACUUAUAGAUGGAUCCGCGCUGCAUUAGCUAGUUGGUAAGGUAACGGCUUACCAAGGCAACGAUGCAUAGCCGACCUGAGAGGGCGAUCGGCCACACUGGAACUGAGACACGGUCCAGACUCCUACGGGAGGCAGCAGUAGGGAAUCUUCCGCAAUGGGCGAAAGCCUGACGGAGCAACGCCGCGUGAGUGAUGAAGGUCUUCGGAUCGUAAAGCUCUGUUAUUAGGGAAGAACAUAUGUGUAAGUAACUGUGCACAUCUUGACGGUACCUAAUCAGAAAGCCACGGCUAACUACGUG
rnacentral:rRNA from 1 species